AUUGAACGCUGGCGGCAGGCCUAACACAUGCAAGUCGAGCGGAUGACGGGAGCUUGCUCCUUGAUUCAGCGGCGGACGGGUGAGUAAUGCCUAGGAAUCUGCCUGGUAGUGGGGGACAACGUUUCGAAAGGAACGCUAAUACCGCAUACGUCCACGGGAGAAAGCAGGGGACCUUCGGGCCUUGCGCUAUCAGAUGAGCCUAGGUCGGAUUAGCUAGUUGGUGGGGUAAUGGCUCACCAAGGCGACGAUCCGUAACUGGUCUGAGAGGAUGAUCAGUCACACUGGAACUGAGACACGGUCCAGACUCCUACGGGAGGCAGCAGUGGGGAAUAUUGGACAAUGGGCGAAAGCCUGAUCCAGCCAUGCCGCGUGUGUGAAGAAGGUCUUCGGAUUGUAAAGCACUCUAAGUUGGGAGGAAGGGCAGUAAGUUAAUACCUUGCUGUUUUGACGUUACCGACAGAAUAAGCACCGGCUAACUCUGUGCCAGCAGCCGCGGUAACAC
rnacentral:rRNA from 1 species